CAUUGGCUUUUUCUACCGAUUUCAAUCUGGUUUUCGUUCUGGUGACUCUACUGUUAUGCAAUUGGUUAAAAUAGUCAACAAAAUAUAUAAUUGUUUAGAUAGAGGAAAUGAGGUACGAGCUGUAUUUCUAGAUAUAUCAAAAGCAUUUGAUAAGGUUUGGCAUGCUGGACUAUUAGCAAAAAUGAAAAAUCUUGGUGUAGAAGGUACCUUAUUAAAUUGGUUUGAAUCAUAUCUUAAAAGUCGGCAGCAACGAGUAGUUGUUGAAGGCAGUAGCUCAUCUUGGAAAGAAGUUAACGCAGGAGUGCCUCAAGGAUCUGUUCUGGGCCCGCUUCUGUUUUUAAUAUAUAUUAAUGAUAUUCAACAUGAUAUUGAUAGUGACUGCUUUCUUUUUGCCGAUGAUACUAUGCUAUUGCAGGAAGUAUUCUCACCACAAUCUGCGGCUCAAUCUUUGAAUAUAGACUUAAAUUCUAUUUCACUGUGGUCUAGUAAAUGGUUAGUCACAAUGAACGCUUCCAAAACAAAGAGUAUGACUUUCUCCCUGAAAAAAAACAAACCUGAUCAUCCUAUUUUGAAGCUAAGUGAAAAGCCAAUUGAAGAAGUAAGUUGCCACGAGCAUUUGGGUGUCCUACUUUCCAGUAAUAUGUCUUGGAAAGUUCACAUUGAAAAACUUCACCAAAAUGCUUCAAAGACCCUUAACCUAUUGAAAGGCUUUACAUUUAAAUUGCCUAGAUUAACCUUAGAAAUUUUGUAUAAAUCUCUUCUUCGCUCUAAGAUGGAAUAUGCUAAUGUUGUUUGGGAUGGGUGUACAAUAGGUGAAUCGGACCUGCUCGAAAGUGUUCAGUAUGAUGCAGCAAAAUUAAUUUCUGGAGCAAUGAAAGGUACACGCAGAGAAAGUAUGUUGAUUGAUUGCGGGUUGCAUACGUUAAAUAACCGGAGAAAAAUACAAAAGUUGUUAUUAUUGUACAAAAUGGUUAAAGGUUUAGCUCCAAGUUAUUUGUCGGAUCUUUGUCCUGUUUACGUAAGCCAAAGAACUACAUAUAGGCUUCGGACUAGGAAUGAUUUAAGUUUACCUUUCAUUCGCACCGAGAAAGCAAAAAAAUCCUUUUUGUAUUCUACAGUUUUUUAUGGAAUAAUCUUUCUGAAUCCACGAGAGAAUCUGCAACAUUUGUUCUCUUUAAAACUGCUUUAUUACGUGAACGAUUUUAUAUACCUCCUGUCAAUAGAUUGGUUUAUUUGGGUGACCGGUAUUUUUCGGCCUUACACACAAGAUUAAGACUAAACAAUUGUGGUCUUAAUUAUUAUCUUUUUUCAAUGAACUGUGUUCUAUCUCUAUCUUGUACCUGUGGUGCACUUAGUGAAGAUGUAACUCAUCAUUUAUUAUUUUGCCCUCGCUUUGCUGCUCUGCGUGCUUCAAUGCUUACCUCUGUCAUGCGCCUUGCUGGAAAUGUAUGGAACGUUUUGAAUAUUUCUCAACAAGUGGACAUUCUAUUACAUGGUUCAAGAAAUCUAAGUUUUGAAGUAAAUGCUGCAAUUUUCUCUGAAGUACAAUGGUAUAUUGGGAGUUCUGCACGUUUCGCAUAGGAUAUUUAUGCAAUUGCCAAGCGAUCCUUUUUUGUCUGUACUUGUGGUGGUAAUUGUAAUGUAAUAUUGUAAUUUAUGUUUGCAUGAACCCCCUCGAUGAGCUCUAAGCGUUUGGGGUAAAUGUAUCUAAAUAUUGUUUAAAUAAAAAAAAAAAAUAAGAAAAAAAUAAAAAUAUUUAGGACGUUACUUUGAUUUUAACAUGUCGAAUAAUAACCAUAAGACUGAACUAACCACUCUCAUUAAUGAACUGAUGAUUGAUAUUGACUCGAAGCCACUCCAUCCAAAAAACAAGCUUCUCGUGUACAGUCGAUUCAAAAGGUCUUAUCCAAAUUAUCCUGGCAUUUCAAUGGGAAAAUCACAUAGAUUCAGUCUCGAAAAAGAUUACAAAAACCGCUGGAAUUAUAAACCGAGUUCGACAUUAUGCAAAUUUGAAUACUUUAAAACUAGUGUAUUAUGCUUUAAUCUAUCCAUAUUUAAUUUAGCCAAUUUUGUCUGGAGAAAUACUUACACAAAGCCAAUUCAGAAGUUACUAAGGAUACAAAAAAAUAUUGUGCGUUUAAUGUUAUUUAAAUCAAAUUUUGAUCGCACUGAUCCAAUUUUUCAAGAUUUGAAAACACUAACUCUUCCCAAAAUCAGUGAUUAUUUAACUCUUCUAUUCAUGUAUCGUUACCACAAAACAGGACAUUUAUCAAUCAUAUUUAAUAAUCUAUUUGUAAACAAUAGUGACAUUCACCAUUAUAAAACUAGGAAUGCUUCCAAUCUUCACAAAAAGUAUAGAAGAACAAAUUAUGUCAAUCAUUCUCUUGCUAGUAAAGGUGUUGAUAUUUGGAAUAAGCUCGACUCUCAUUUAAAAUCAAUCAAUCCAUUGAUUGGCUUCAAAACCAAAUUGAAAAAAUCUCUAUUUGUAACAGAUAGCUGUAAAUAUAGUAAAUAUAAUCACUCUCCCAUAUAAAAACAUUUUAAGUAUAUUUUAUGGAAUUAUACGUAUU